CUGUGGUUCCCAGACUUCAGUCAGUGCUCAAAAUGGAUUUGGGGCUGAGCUGGAUUUUCUUUGUAGCUCUACUAAAAGGUGUCCAGUGUGAGGUGAAGCUUGUGGAGACUGGAGGUGGACUGGUGCAGCCUGGGGGGUCACUAAGACUCUCCUGUGCAGCCUCUGGUUUCACUUUUAGUGACUACUGGAUGGACCGGUUCAGACAGACUCCUGAAAAGGCCUUGGAGUGGAUUGGAGAAAUUAAACCUGAUGGCAGUAAGACAAACUAUGCACCAUCCAUGAAGGAUCGAUUCACCAUCACCAGAGACAAUGCCAAGAACACUCUCUACCUGCAGAUGAACAGUGUGCGAUCUGAGGACACUGCCACUUAUUAUUGUGCUAUACACAGUGAAGGAACUUCAUUGUGA